ensembl:miRNA gga-mir-122-2 gga-mir-122-2
CAGAGCUAUGGAGUGUGACAAUGGUGUUUGUGUCCAAUCUAUCAAACGCCAUUAUCACACUAAAUAGCUACUGGUAG